rnacentral:pre_miRNA from 1 species
UGUGUACUCCCUUCGUUCCAAAAUACUUGACUUCCAUUUGUCCAAAAAUGGAUGUACCUAUAUACUAAGACAUGUCUAGAUACAUAUAUAUUUUGACAAAUAGAAGGCAUGUAUUGUGCAAUGGAGGGAGUAGAAU